rnacentral:tRNA from 1 species
GUAACUGUAGCUCAGCGGUUAGAGUCCGGGGUUGUGAACCCCGUCGUCAUGGGUUCGAUUCCCAUCAGUUACCCCA